UACUUGUUUAUUUAUUUUUGGUGAGGAAGACUAGCCCUGAGCUAAAAUUGGUUGCCAAUUUCCCUCUUUUUGCUUGAGGAAAAUUGUCGCUGAGCUAACUUCCAUGCCAAUCUUCCUCUAUUUUGUAUGUGGGAUGCCACCACAGCAUGGCUUGAGUGGUGCAUAGGUCUGCAUCUGGGAUCUGAAUCCACAAACCCUGGGCUGCCAAAGCAGAGCCCGCGAAUUUACACCACCAGGCCAACCCCAAUAUUUUUUACUGAGGUAACAUUGGUUUAUAAUAUCACAUAAAUAUCAGGUGUAUAUCAUUAUAUUUUGAUUUCUGUGUAGACUACAUCAUGUUCACCACCCAAAGUCUAAUUGCCAUUUAUCACUAUACACAUGUGCCCUUUUACCACUUUCACCCUCCCCUGAUCUCCUUUCCCUCUGGUAACCACCAAUCUAUUCUCUGUGUCUAUCUGUUUGUUUAUUGUUGUUUUUAUUAUCUUCCAUAUAUGAGUGAAAUCAUACAGUAUUUGACUUUCUCUGUCUGCUUUAUUUCACUUAGCAUAAUGCCCUCAAGGUCCAUCCAUGUUGUUGCAAAUGGAAAGACUUGAUCUUUUUUCAUGGCUGAGCAGUAUUCCAUUGUGUAUAUAUAUAUAUACCACAUCUUCUUUAUCCAUUCAUGCAUUGAUGGACACUUGGAUCGUUUCAAAGUCUUGGCUAUCAUAAAUAAUGCUAAAAAGAAUAUAGGGGUGCAUAUAUCUCUUCGAAUUAGUGUUUUAUGUUCUUUGGAUAAAUACCCAGAAGUAAAAUAGCUGGAUCAUAUGGUAGUUCUAUUCUUAAUUUUUUGAGGAAUCUCCAUACGGUUUGCCAUAACAGCUGCACCAGGUUACAUUCCCACCAGCUGUGUAUGAAUGUUCCCUUUUUCUCCACAUCAUCUCCAACACUAAUUAUUAGGGAAAGGUAAAUCAAAAUGACAACAAGAUAUUACCUCAUGCCUGUCAGAAUAGCUAUUAUUGUGUUUUUGUUUUAAAU
rnacentral:lncRNA from 1 species